rnacentral:rRNA from 1 species
GAUGAACGCUAGCGGCAGGCUUAACACAUGCAAGUCGAGGGGUAACGAUGAGUGCUUGCAUUCAGGCGACGACCGGCGAACGGGUGCGUAACGCGUAUAGAAUCUGCCUUGUACAGGAGGAUAGCCUUUAGAAAUGAAGAUUAAUACUCCAUAAUGUAAGCAAAUCGCAUGAUUUACUUAUUAAAGAUUUAUUGGUACAAGAUGACUAUGCGUCCUAUUAGUUAGUUGGUAAGGUAACGGCUUACCAAGGCGACGAUAGGUAGGGGGUCUGAGAGGAUUAUCCCCCACACUGGUACUGAGACACGGACCAGACUCCUACGGGAGGCAGCAGUGAGGAAUAUUGGACAAUGGGCGGGAGCCUGAUCCAGCCAUGCCGCGUGCAGGAAGACUGCCCUAUGGGUUGUAAACUGCUUUUAUACAGGAAGAAACCUAUCCACGUGUGGAUAGCUGACGGUACUGUAAGAAUAAGCACCGGCUAACUCCGUGCCAGCAGCCGCGGUAAUACGGAGGGUGCAAGCGUUAUCCGGAAUCAUUGGGUUUAAAGGGUCCGCAGGCGGUCGAUUAAGUCAGAGGUGAAAUCUCACAGCUUAACUGUGAAACUGCCUUUGAUACUGGUUGACUUGAGUCAUAUGGAAGUGGAUAGAAUAAGUAGUGUAGCGGUGAAAUGCAUAGAUAUUACUUAGAAUACCGAUUGCGAAGGCAGUCCACUACGUAUGUACUGACGCUCAUGGACGAAAGCGUGGGGAGCGAACAGG